UAUCAAGGGAUGGUGGGACAGCUCAGUGGCUAAUACCCACUAAGGUAGUGUUCCUGGGGCCAAGCGUUCCACCAUUCCUUCCCCAUCCCCCUCUUUUUUGACUGUGUAAAAGGAAGUGGAGUCCUGGAAGAGAUCGUUCUGUGGUGGCGCUGUUAGUGUUCCUGGGCUUGCUGGUCCAGCCCUUCCAAGGAUAUUGUAAGAAAUUAGUGGCUUUUUUGAUCAUCUAACAAAAAGCUCUGGGCUGAGUCACGUCUCAGAAGUUCCAGACAGCCAUGGACUACAACAAGCAGAUGUCCAACAGGAAGAGAACAUCUGUGAUGCUCGUUUCCAAUGUUUCCAGUGCCGCAGGAUCCUGUCACCUGGCCGAGCGGUGGGGAACAAAGGCUGCCUGGAUUUGGCACCUCCAGCCCUUCUGUGGCUUUCCCUUCUCAAUAAACCUUUGACAAAGGUCGGGUGUUUGAAAGGCUGGCUUUUUCCUUGUUGGGUCUAAGCGUUUCUUGCUCAGCAGAGCGAUUCAUUGUCUCUGAGCGUCAAUAAAUAA